rnacentral:rRNA from 1 species
UACGAAGGGGGCUAGCGUUGCUCGGAAUCACUGGGCGUAAAGCGCACGUAGGCGGCUUGUUAAGUCAGGGGUGAAAUCCUGGAGCUCAACUCCAGAACUGCCUUUGAUACUGGCGAGCUUGAGUUCGGGGAGAGGUGAGUGGAACUGCGAGUGUAGAGGUGAAAUUCGUAGAUAUUCGCAAGAACACCAGUGGCGAAGGCGGCUCACUGGUCCGGUACUGGACGCUGAGGUGCGAAAGCGUGGGUA